UUUUAUUACGAGCAGCCUGCAGCCUGAAGGUUAAUUCAGAGCCAAGUGCUUGCUUAGAGGAGCACCUUUUAACUGUUUCUUGCCCGUUAGAAAUUAAAGUAAUGCUUAGUGGACUGGAGUACACUUUAAACUGACCAGUUUCCUCCCCGCGAAAAGAAAGCUGACCAGGUUUCACGGGAGAAAGUGAAGGAGCACCAUCCAACAUCGAUC
rnacentral:lncRNA from 1 species